rnacentral:rRNA from 1 species
AGCGAACGCUGGCGGCAGGCCUAACACAUGCAAGUCGAACGGACCCUUCGGGGUUAGUGGCGGACGGGUGAGUAACACGUGGGAACGUGCCCUUUGGUUCGGAAUAGCUCCUGGAAACGGGUGGUAAUGCCGAAUGUGCCCUUCGGGGGAAAGAUUUAUCGCCAUUGGAGCGGCCCGCGUCUGAUUAGCUAGUUGGUGAGGUAAAGGCUCACCAAGGCGACGAUCAGUAGCUGGUCUGAGAGGAUGAUCAGCCACAUUGGGACUGAGACACGGCCCAAACUCCUACGGGAGGCAGCAGUGGGGAAUCUUGCGCAAUGGGCGAAAGCCUGACGCAGCCAUGCCGCGUGAAUGAUGAAGGUCUUAGGAUUGUAAAAUUCUUUCACCGGGGACGAUAAUGACGGUACCCGGAGAAGAAGCCCCGGCUAACUUCGUGCCAGCAGCCGCCGUAAUAC